GCUGUGCCUAGAUGACACAGAAGAGAACUGAGAACUUCCAGCUCCAAAGAUCUCAGGGAACGUGUGGAAGCUUUCAAAGAGCAGGUAAAGGCAAGGCCGGCUGCAAUGACUGUUCUCACAGAAGAAGAUAGCAGCCCUGGAUGAGAAUGGGGUUCUUUGCACCAACUGUUUGAGUGGUGGAAAGAGCACACAGAGGUGCACUACCACACAUCUCUUCCCAGCUCCUCAUUCAGGAAUGUCGGAUUUGUAGUUUGAAAUCAGCCAAGAUGAGGAUGAAGAUGAAGAACCUGACCGGUUAAGUAACUUGCAUGAUGUCGUGCAGCUGGUAAGUGACAAAACAGGACUUGAAUCCGGGAAUUCGGGCUCCAAUACUCAAAAUCCCCACAAUGUGCUGCCUCAUUCCAAAAAUAGGAGACGAUGACAAAUGCCAUCAGGCUGCCCAGGACAGAAGAGUGCCCAUGGGAUUAGGUACUAGGGCCACCAGUGAGCUCAGCAAGAGCUCACUGUAGUAAACAGUAGGUGCUAAUUAACUGUUCAAUUUUAUCAGUUCCUGGGCUUAACCCUUUGUUUGAGCCAGCAGAGUCCACACACGUGGCAUCUCCUAGCCCCUGCUUGCCUUAUCUUCCUCCUCAGAAACCUGUUCCAGGUUUCUGCUCAGCAAGAGGAAACUCACUCCCCAACUGCGUUCAGGGAAGGGAAGAUCUGUGCUUCAAGCUCCUAGGGGAGUGAAGAGAAGUGGGAGGUAACUACUUAUAACUCGCUAACUGUGCCCAGGCACAGAUUUACAUGCAUUGGAACAUAUCAUCAACUCAAUUACCUAUGCUCAGAUUAGCUUUAGCAAGUCUUUAAGCUCUCACAGCUGUCUUCAGGUGUUCAGGGGAUUAUUAUGGGGAGAUGUUGAUCAGCUGUUCUCCAUGGCUCCUGGGGGCAGAACAAAAGAAAAGAGGCUUAAAUGUCAGCAAGGGAUUUAGAUGUAAGUGAGAACUCUGUGAGGCAGGGAGGUCCUGUGUACCCAAGCAAGGGUUUCCAGCCUUUCUGUCGUAUUUAGCCUAAAUAUUCCCUUCCCCACCACACUACCUCUUCCUUUGUUUUCUGACAAAAGAGACAAAAACAAUAACAGCAAGUUCUUGUGUAGUUCUUACUUCAUGUCAGGGACCAUUAUGGAGGUUUUUACUCAUAGUCACUCUUCCAAUAUUCACCACAACACGAUGAGAUAAGUACUAUUGCCGUCCCCAUUUUAUAGGUAUGAAAACUGAGAUAUAGGGUGAAUAACUUGCCAAAGGUCACACAGCCAAUAAAUGGUAGAGCCAAUAUUUGAAGCUUUAUCCCUAAGUCCACCCUCUGAACCACUACCCUGUACUGUUAAUCUGUAUGUGUGGCACUAGAACAGAAUUUAAUAUCAGGCAAAAUAAGGGAGAAAUUCUAGCUGGCAAUUUGGCAUGGAGGCUGUUGCAGAUUGUUACAAAAUGACCCUAAGUGAUCCACGCCUCCUUGAAUUUAUGCCUAUGUAUAGUCCUCUUCCACACUGAAUCUGUGCCAUUCCAGUGACUGGCUUGGCCAACAGCAUGUGAUGGAAACAACUUUCUGGGACGUCAUACUCAGGCCUUAAGAGGUCUGGAGCUUCUACUUUCUCUGUCAGAACCCAGCUGCCUUGUAAAGGACACUCUGUCUACAUGUAGAGAGGACACAUGUAGAGAGAAGACUUGGAGGCUGAGAGGCCAUGUGGAGAACAACAGAGGCACCUCAGCUAAGAGCCAGAACCAAAGUGGUAAAUGAAGCCAUCUUAGAUCCUCUACUCCCAGCUGGAUUGUCCCAGGAGACACCACACAGGCCAAGAUGGGGUGAACUUGCUGAGCCCUGCACAAAUCCUAACUCUAAAAGGGUUGUGGUUUUCUUUUUUUAAAGACUUUAUUUAUUUAUUUAUUUAUUUAUUUAUUUAUUUAUUUAUUUAUUUAUUUAUUUAUGAGGGAUUGAGAGCACAGUGAGAGAAAGAGCAUGAGUGGGGGUGGGGGGCAACAGAGGGAGAAGGAAAAGCAGGCCCCCAGCUGAUCAGGGAGCCUGAUGACGUGGGGCUCCAUCCCAGGACCCCAGGACAAUGACCUGAGCCGAAGGCAGACACUUAACCAAUUUAGCCAUCCAGGAGCCUCAAGGGUUAUGGUUUUAAGUCACUAUUUCCUUUUUAUUGUGGUGAAAUACACAUAACAUAAAAUUUAUAAUUUUAACCAUUUUUAAGGGUAUAGUUCUAUGGCACUAAGUGGAUUUGCAUUGAUGUGCCAUCAUCACACCAUCCCAUCUAUCUCCAGGAAUUUUUAAUCAUCUCAGACUGAAACUCUGUCCCCAUCAAACACUGUUCCUUCCCGCCCCUGGUAACCACUAUCCUACUUUCUGUCUCUAUGAAUUUAAGUCAAUAGGUUCUAAGGUAGCACCAUAUAACCUCAUAGAGAUGCUGACAGAUUUAAUAAUCUGCUUUUAGAACAUAUUAAUGUGUUUCUUAGUUUAUUAAAUACCAGAGAGUUAUAUAAAUAUCAGGAACCCUCCCAGAGCUUCAGUUUGCUGUGUCAUUUGUACCUGUAAUUCUAAUGGUGUCGUGGCCUAUAGUGUUACAGGUAAAAUUAUAAUUAUACCUAACAUUUACUUUGAAGUUGAGAAGGCAGUUUCACACUUAAUGUAUCACUUGCCUUUCACAAUAGCCUUGGAGGUAGAAUUAAUGUUUUCCCUUUUAUAGAUCAGGAGAUUGAGGAUCAAAGGUUUUAAGUGAUUUGGUCAAGGUCAUAGCAUUGAUAGAACAGGUUGGUCUGCAACCAUUUUUUGAUCACGCCUGCUGCGUAAGGGAGAUGGGGGGCGAGGUAUCCAAAAGAUAAUUCAGCAGUUUGAAAAAGGAGACACAAGCCUGUUCCUCAAACCACAGCUGCUUGCCUAGGACACACCCAUGGAUAUGCCCACAGGAGAAUCCUUUGAUCAUGCUGACUACCAACCAAGAUGGCACCCAAUGAAAUGUUUUAUAGGGUGUGGCUGGGUCUAUUUUAAGAAACAAAUAUGUUCGGCUGUAGUUUGGGCAGGAAUAGCAUGACGAGGCAAGCCAGGGACAUCCCCAUUGAGUAAAGCCACAGAAUCAUGCUCAUUCAUAAAUCAAUUCAGUGGGUCACAAACAAUAUAUUUUUUAAAUAAAAUAGAACAGAAUUCAUUGAAGUAGUAAGGACAAGUAUUUUUCUGAGGAAUUUAUUUCAGUAAUAUUAUAUACAUAUACUUGUAUCUUCGUAGUCAUGUUAUUUGGGAUUUGGGUCACAACAUCAAAUCUAUUUCCUACCAUGGUGUGAAUGCUUGAAAACCACUGCCCUACCCCAAUUCUUCCUCAAAGUUCAGAAGCAUUCUGCAGUCUCUAGUGGAAGUAUAGCCCGUCUACCUGCACUGGCCUUGUGCAAACAGUAGAAAAGAGACAGAUACCAUUUUAGCACAAGGACAACACUCCAGAGGCUGGUUUGGAAUGGCUGAAAUUGUCAUUUGUAAAAUUUUGUCAAGUGCCCAAGGUGAUUUUAUGACAUGGAGAUGUAGUGAUAGGAUUCUAAAAGCAAUGGAUUAGUCAGGGAAACCGAGCUUCCACCCCCUUGUUCUCCUUCAAACACCUAUAAUUCCUUGAGAUUUUCUCAGCUUCAUUCCCUCAUCUCUAGCAAGAGGAAUGAUCAGACCAAAUUAUCUUUGGGGAAAGUUUUCAACCAAGAGAAGGAGUGCUGAUAAGAUUUAGGCUACUGUCUACUCAUUUUCCCAAGGAGGGGCACUGAGAUAGGGAAUGCAGACGGAAAGUCUUCUGUCUCUCUUUUUUUUUAAAGCGAGUCCAGUUUUUUGUUUAUAUGUUUCCCAACAUGGAUAAGGAUAGACAAACACUCUUUGAAAGAUAACUAAUGUACAUUUCUGGUUUGAGGCUGAAGACUUACCUUGAGUACCCCAUCCAGGUCCAGGUAUCUACAAUCGUGAAACUUACAUCAUUUUAGUUUCAUGAAUUAAACAAUAAACUAUAAUUGUCUAGGUCCAGGGUAUGAUGGUAAAGUCACAGCAUCUCGGUCACAUAUGAAAUUUCCUCCCUGUUAUUCAGCCAUGUGCAUAAGAAGGCAGUUGAAAUUCCUUAAGAGGUAAAAGCACAUGAGUGUGGUGAUUCUUUCCCCUGAGUUGAGAAAACAUGAAUUCCUUGGUGGCUGGAUUUUGAUCCUAGAGCCAAUGCCGAGGGAGGGCCUGGGUCAGUGACCACUGGUUCCUGGACAUUAAGAAAGGCUCCAUAGCAGAAAAGAAAGCCCAGACAUUGCCAACAACCAUUGUAUAAAAAGAAAAAUGAGUCGUUGAGUCUCAGCAAUAAUGACUCUGCUUCUGCCAAUGUCAGCAGGGAGACAGGUGCAGAGAGCUCUGAAGAGCCCUUCCAAACCCUUACACGUGACCCAAAAAAUGCCCCAGAAGCCCAAGCUCCUUGACAUGCUGAGCUGAAUCUGGAGUGUUUCCAGCUAUAUUCAAAUGGGUCUGGGAAUGACAUGGGAACUUAGCAGCUUUGUUUGCAACUUAGGAGUAGAAAUUGUUUUUCAUCAAACAGAAAAUAUCCUUGUCUAUUUGAAUUUCAAACAACGUAAUGCUGUUUGGGGACUGCUAUAAGAAAAUUCAUUCUCAUUGAGGAAACUCCGCGUCUUGUACAAUUUAGGGAGAGAAUAAAGGAAUUGUUCAAACUGCUUCAUUUCUAUUUUCUCAUGGUAUAGAGAAGUUUAUGUGAUUUAAUGCCUUUUUUUCAUGAUAAUUUUUGAAGAAUAUAUUCAAACAAGAUGCCAUUUAGUAGACUUGGAUAUUGCCUUAACCCUCUGGAAUGACAAAAAGCACAGAUUGGCACAAAUCGAAGAGGAAAGUAAGAAAAGAUUUAUUCAAGGGCAGUGAAUUAUAUUAUUAGGCCAGUGACUCCCUUCCACCUACCCCCCCAAACUAACCCCAUGCCCAGCUUAUCUGAGUAAACCAAAGGAAAUUUAAUCUUAGCCUCUACUAUAUAUUCAGUACAUUCCGGCUGACAUUUCAGACCCUGUUAGAAAUCUGGUUGGCUUCCAAGCACAUGCAAUACUAGAAUGAAGAAAUAGUAUAGAUAGCUAUCUCAUUUUUCUUUCUCUCUGAAACAUUGACAAUGAUUCUUUGUAGAAUGUCUCAGGACAUUCAAGGAAGUUAUCCAUAAACAUUUUGCAGAAAUCUGUCAAGAGCUGAUUAUUGCAAUUUAUAUUAUAUGGAUACUUCAUUCCACAGGCAUUGCAAGAUUAAAACAUGCUGGGAAGACAAUGGAGGCUAUAGGCUGCCAAACACAUGAACAACCAGUAGUCAAGAGGCAGGUUUGAAGUGUGGUAUUUUCAGCUCUAGAGGACAGAAUGGUGACCUUAGAUGACACAGGCAGAACCACCAGACACACACCAAUCCCUUCCCAAACACACCACAUAUUAACCAAUAAAAUGGGCGAAACCAGUAACUCCAUCUGGUUCCUCAGAAAUCCUUACAAAUGUGCCAGUUUCUGUGGGAUAUGCCACAUGAGAGUUCCCUGCUGGGCAAAUAGGAGUAUCACAGACACUUGAAAUUCAUACAUAAACUCCAAGCCUAUAUUUCAGCAACUUAGUUUUCCUCCUCCAUUAGCAGUUGCAACCAAUGCCUCCACUGUAGGCAGGACUCCACCCUUGUCCCUGUCCCCAUCCUACAGAGUCAUGAAGUGUGUGAAUAAAGACGCCAAGGCUAGUGGCCCAGUCCCAAACUGAAUGAUCGCCCUUUGGAAAGUGAACCCUGGAGUGCAAUAAGAAGGCUUUGUCACACAGCACGGCAGGUUUGCCUGCUUCUCAGAAUCAACAAACCACGGCAAUGUGAGAUGUUUUACUUGAAAGAAAGAAAGAAAGAAAGAAAGAAAGAAAGAAAGAAGAAAGAAAGAAAAAGAAUGAAAGAGAAGAAAGAAAGACAGAAAGAAAGAAAGAAGAAAGAAAAGAAAGAAGAAAGAAAGAAAGAAAGAAAGAAAGAAAGAAAGAAAGAAAGAAAGAAAGAAAGAAAGACUGGUACUUUUAAGCCAGGUUAAAAAUCUCACUUGCUUGGUUCCCCCUUUAAAAUCUUAAAAGAGGGCAGCCUGGGUGGCUCAGCGGUUUAGCGCCGCCUUCAGCCCAGGGCCUGAUCCUGGAGACCUGGGAUCGAGUCCCACGUCAGGCUCCCUGCAUGGAGCCUGCUUCUCCCCCUGCCUGUGUCUCUGCCCCUCUCUCUAUUUCUGUGUCUCUCAUGAAUAAAUAAAUCUUAGAAAAAUAAAAUAAAAUCUGAAAACAAUAAAUAGCUCACCAGGUGAAUUUGACAUAUAUGACACCUCCAUGUUACAACCUCUGGACACUCAACCAGAGAUUGGCAGUCUAUGCACUGAAUGACCAGGAUGGAGUAUAUGGGAGACAAUUUUAUGGUCAGGCACCAGCUGGCCUGUGUGCAUCCGUAGAGAAGUUUCAAAGCUCUACAGUGGGGCUGCAGCCACCAAAUGUCCCCCUGCUCCCCAUCUACCUCAUGGUUCCCAGUCAUUCUGGUCUGCUCCCUCAUUCUCUAGCACAGCACAAGAGUGGGGGAGAAAAUAGCACUGGAAAGAGUUGGUACUGGGUGAAGGGUUGGCACAGCUGCUUGUAGAUACUUGAGGUGGGGAGAGAAAUAGAAGAUGGGAGAUUGGCCACAAUUCUUGGAACCUUCCUUAAGGGAGGGUGAUAUGAAAGCUUUUGCACAAAGUAGCAGAACAUGAAGUGCUGGUCCUGGUUCCCCAAACUAUAGUCAGUGAGUUAGGGAAGAAGUUAGAGAGGCCAUCAAGUCCAGCCUUCCUUCAUUCAUUCUUCUGUUCAUUCCACAAAUAAUCACUGAACAUCUAUACUGCUGAGGAUAUAUCAGAGAACAAAGCAAAGACCCUGCCAGCAUGGAGUUUACAUUUUCCUGGGGCUGAGAAACAUUAAGCAAAUAAAUAAAUAGCACAUCAGCUAUGAUAAAUGCUGUGGAGAACAGAAAAGCAAGGUAAGAAGAAAAUGGACCCUUGAGGGGUAGGAGAGCCAGGAGGUACUAUCUUAUAUAUGUUGGUUAGGGACUGAUAAUGACAUUUGAACAGAAACUUGAAGAAGCCAUGGGGAUAUCUGAUGGAAGAGAGGACACAAGUGCAAAGACUCUGCUACAGAGAAUGAAUGGCAUGUUUAAGGACCAGCUCGGAUGCUAGUGGGGUUGCUAGCAUGGCAUAAGGGGGAGAUUUGUAGGAGAGGUGGUCAGAGAGACUGUGGGGCCCAGACCAUAUGGGGUCUUGGAAGCAAGUGUUAAGCUUGAGUGAGACAAGAACCUUUAAUUGGAGAAAUGACAGGAUCUGACUUUUUAGAGUAUCCUUCUGGCUGCUGUGUUGGAACACAUCUCGGGGCUAUGUCAUGGAACAUGAUGAAAAUCUAUUUCAUUCUUAAAAGACCCUGUACAUGAUUCAGUUACCUUCCUAUUUUCCAGUUUGUUUUCUAUGCUUCCCUCUCUAGACAGGUUUUCAUCAUUGGUUUUAUUUUCCAUCAUCGGAUUCUUUAAAAUUGUCUGAUCUUGCCAUCAUCCCUUUUCAACCCUCAACUUAACACUUUCCAAAUGGUUUUCACUUGCACUUAGGGGAAAGUUCAAACUCCAUCCUCUGUUGUAAAAGGUCCUGUAAGAUUGAGUCCCUGCCUGUAUCUCUCUGCAUGUGCUCUCCUCUGUGUUCCUCUUCCUCUGUAGUCAUGGUGGCUCUCUUUCGGUUCCUAACCCCAGAUAAGUUCUUUUUCCUGAUACCUUCUCCCUAUGUCUGUGUGGUUCACCCUUGCAUAUCUUGUGCUCCAGAAAUGUGUUGGAUUAGUUAAUUUAUCAAUCAAAUGCGGUACCCAAAUAAAAUGAAGUCACCUCAGA